GGGAAACUGAGAGAACCUACUUUCAACCACAAACAUAAGGCAGGGGGAGCAAAAUGGAUGUAGCUGAGCCUUUAAACUCCCAAAGCCUGGACCAGCGAUAUAAUUUCCCCAUCUUCAAACAGCAUCGCCAGCUGGAGACUGAUAUGCUUUGUAAUACCGUAGCCAUGAUGCAGCGGAAGGGGUGCCUUAGCCAGCCCAUGCUGUGACACCUCCCCUGGCGCCCCACACAGGCAUGGAUACGAGAGAACAGAUGAACGGUGGAGUAAGGCUGUCAACAUUCAAACCCGAUUCCUCACCCAAGGGCGCACCUCCCUAUCAACUCCUCAAACAGCACCGCCAACUAGGAACAGUGCUCAAAUGCUUAAGCCUGUGGGAGACCUUUCUCAUUCAAACCACCACACUAGCUUAAUG
ensembl:lncRNA